rnacentral:rRNA from 1 species
GUCGAAACCUGCGAAAGCAGACCCGCGAACACGUGUCUUUACGACCAAAACAACGCCCGCGUGGCCGGCGCGAGAGCGUCGCAACCCGCGGGCUAACGAACCCGGGCGCGGAACGCGCCAAGGAAAACCGAAAUGAAGCGUCCCCACCCCGUGCGUCCCGUCCGCGGAUCGCGCGCGGGGUGGUCGGACGUCUAUCGAAUGUCAUAACGACUCUCGGCAACGGAUAUCUCGGCACUCGCAUCGAUGAAGAACGUAGCGAAAUGCGAUACUUGGUGUGAAUUGCAGAAUCCCGUGAACCAUCGAGUCUUUGAACGCAAGUUGCGCCCGAAGCCAUCAGGCCGAGGGCACGUCUGCCUGGGCGUCACGCAUCGCGUCGCCCCCCACACGCAUCGCCUCGAGCGAUGCCGUUGUCGGGGGGCGGAGAUUGGCCUCCCGUGCGCCCCGGUGCGCGGCCGGCCCAAAUGCGAUCCCCCGGCGACGCACGCCCCGACAAGUGGUGGUUGAGCUAUCAACUCGCGUGCUGUCGUGUGCC